AAUGCCGCGUGUGUGAAGAAGGCCUGCGGGUUGUAAAGCACUUUUAUCAGGGAAGAAACGGCCUGGGCUAAUACCCCAUGGCAAUUGACGGUACCUGAAGAAUAAGCACCGGCUAACUCCGUGCCAGCCACUUCGGUGACUGAGCGGGCUGGCAAGGCGCAUA
rnacentral:rRNA from 1 species